rnacentral:lncRNA from 13 species
CACAACUGUCAGUGUUACUGUCCUGGUUAUAACAACAUGACCAACACAACAGUCAGUGUUACUGUCCUGGUUAUAACAACAUGACCAACACAACAGUCAGUGUUACUGUCCUGGUUAUAACAACAUGACCAACACAACAGUCAGUGUUACUGUCCUGGUUAUAACAACAAGACCAACAUAACAGUCAGUGUGACUGCUAGUAACUAACUGUUACUGCUAUUUAUACCACAGCAAAAGCACACACCCACACCACACAUGAGUGUGGACUUCUUGUCCUGACAUGACCCACUCAGCCCUCCUAAAACAGCCCAGAACAUGGAGCUCAAUUGUCAGCUACAUUACCGACACGUCCUGUCUAGUCCAGAGAGAGGAAAACACCAACAUGGGCCUUUCCUUGACCCCUUCCUGUGUACGCAGUGAUCACACACACACACACACACACACACACACACACACACACACACAAAUAGACACACAUGCAAAAAAACACACAUACACACAGUUCAGACUUCCAACACAGAGUCACGUGCUCUUUCUUAAAACGUCAUCACAGAUGUCUCCAUUUCUACGUGUAAUGUUUGAACAUUCUGAUAGGAGAUGACUUGACUCACUAAUGGAAUGUGUAAAUAAAAUACCUGAGUCAAUCUAUUCCUGUCCGGUAUGUUGUUGUUCCACUGGUACUGUGGGUUUGUAUCUGCUAUAAGAAACAGAGAAGUUCUGGCUCAGACAAGGCUACUUAACAAACCAGUAGUAGUCUAGGUUAUUACCAUGUUACAAUGUAAGCAUGUUACCAGCUAAUUUCUUAUUAAGCACCUGGUCAUCUAUGUGUUGUAAAAUAAAGGUGCCAUAUCACUGCAACUCUAUACUACCAGCCACACCUACUGCCUUCAGGGUACUGAGAUCAGGUUGUCAGACUACUGCCUUCAGGGUACUGAGAUCAGGUUGUCAGACUACUGCCUUCAGGGUACUGAGAUCAGGUUGUCAGACUACUGCCUUCAGGGUACUGAGAUCAGGUUGUCAGACUACUGCCUUCAGGGUACUGAGAUCAGGUUGUCAGACUACUGCCUUCAGGGUACUGAGAUCAGGUUGUCAGACUACUGCCUUCAGGGUACUGAGAUCAGGUUGUCAGACUAAUUCCUUCAGGGUACUGAGAUCAGGUUGUCAGACUACUGCCUUCAGGGUACUGAGAUCAGGUUGUCAGACUAAUUCCUUCAGGGUACUGAGAUCAGGUUGUCAGACUACUGCCUUCAGGGUACUGAGAUCAGGUUGUCAGACUACUGCCUUCAGGGUACUGAGAUCAGGUUGUCAGACUUGUCACAGAGACAGGUAUGUGGGUUUCCCUGACCUGUUCUGUCCUGCCUUAUCCUGUCCUGCCUUAUCCUGUCCUGCCCUGUCCUGCCUUAUCCUGUCCUGUCCUUUUCUGUCCUGUCACCUCAGGUCACGGUGAUGAUGCUCAUACAGGGGUAGACUAGUGAAUCU